rnacentral:rRNA from 1 species
UACGUAGGGUGCAAGCGUUGUCCGGAAUUAUUGGGCGUAAAGAGCUCGUAGGCGGUCUGUCGCGUCGGUCGUGAAAACUUGGGGCUUAACCCUGAGCUUGCGGUCGAUACGGGCAUGACUGGAGUUCGGCAGGGGAGACUGGAAUUCCUGGUGUAGCGGUGAAAAUGCGCAGAUAUCAGGAGGAACACCGGUGGCGAAGGCGGGUCUCUGGGCCGAUACUGACGCUGAGGAGCGAAAAGCGUGGGGGAGCGAACAGG